rnacentral:misc_RNA from 1 species
UCCGGUUUGGCACCGGCAGUCUCCCCAGAGUUCCCGGCAUGACCCGCUGGCAACUGAGGACAAGGGUUGCGCUCGUUGCGCCACUUAAGGCAACACCUCACGACACGAGCUGACGACAGCCAUGCACCACCUGUGCACUGGCCCCGAAGGGCUGCCGUGUUUCCACGACAUUCCAGUGCAUGUCAAGCCCUGGUAAGGUUCUUCGCGUCGCGUCGAAUUAAUCAACAUGCUCCGCUGCUUGUGCGGGCCCCCGUCAAUUCCUUUGAGUUUUAGCCUUGCGGCCGUACUCCCCAGGCGGGGCGCUUAAUGCGUUAGCUUCGGCACGGAGAGGGUUGAAGACCUCCCCACACCUAGCACCCAACGUUUACGGCUGGGACUAC